GUCCACGCCAUAAACGAUGAGCACUAGGUGUCGCGGGUAUUGACCCCUGCGGUGCCGCCGCUAACGCAUUAAGUGCUCCGCCUGGGGACUACGGCCGCAAGGUUAAAACUCAAAGGAAUUGACGGGGGCCCGCACAAGCGGUGGAGCAUGUGGUUCAAUUCGACGCAACGCGAAGAACCUUACCUGGGCUAGACAACAUCGGACAGUCCUAGAGAUAGGAUCUUCCCUUCGGGGACCGGUGGUUCAGGUGCUGCAUGGCUGUCGU
rnacentral:rRNA from 1 species